rnacentral:rRNA from 1 species
UACGUAGGGUCCGAGCGUUGUCCGGAGUUACUGGGCGUAAAGCGCGCGCAGGCGGCGGUAUAAGCAUGGCGUGAAAGCCCCAGGCUCAACCUGGGAGGGUCGUCGUGGCCUGUACCGCUUGAGGGCGAUAGGGGCUGGUGGAAUGCCUGGUGUAGUGGUGAAAUGCGUAGAGAUCAGGCGGAACACCGGUGGCGAAGGCGCUGCUCUGGGCCGGUACUGACGCUGAGGAGCGAAAGCGUGGGUAGCAAACAGG